GCAUAUCAUAGCGGAGGAAAAGAAACUAACAAGGAUUCCCCUAGUAACUGCGAGUGAAGCGGGAAGAGCUCAAAUUUGAAAUCUGGCGGUCCUUGGGCCGUCCGAGUUGUAAUCUAGAGAAGUGCUACCCGCGCUGGACCGUGCACAAGUCUCCUGGAACGGAGCGUCACAGAGGGUGAGAAUCCCGUCUUUGGCACGGACUCCCAGGGCUUUUGUGGUGCGCUCUCGAAGAGUCGAGUUGUUUGGGAAUGCAGCUCAAAAUGGGUGGUAAACUCCAUCUAAAGCUAAAUAUUGGCGAGAGACCGAUAGCGAACAAGUACCGUGAGGGAAAGAUGAAAAGCACUUUGGAAAGAGAGUUAAACAGUACGUGAAAUUGUUGAAAGGGAAACGCUUGAAGUCAGUCGCGUCGGCCGGGGAUCAACCUUGCAACUGCGGGGCGCACUUCCCGGUCGACGGGUCAGCAUCAGUUUCGACCGCCGGAAAAAGGCCUGAGGAAUGUGGCACCUCUGGGUGUGUUAUAGCCUCUGGUCGUAUGCGGCGGUUGGGACUGAGGAACUCAGCGCGCCGAAAGGCCGGGUCUCUGACCACGUACCGCGCUUAGGAUGCUGGCAGAAUGGCUUUAAUCGACCCGUCUUGAAACACGGACCAAGGAGUCUAACAUGCCUGCGAGUGUUUGGGUGGAAAACCCAUGCGCGCAAUGAAAGUGAAAGUUGAGACCCUCCUCGAGGGGGGGCAUCGACGCCCGGACCUGAGCUUCUGCGACGGAUCCGCGGUAGAGCAUGUAUGUUGGGACCCGAAAGAUGGUGAACUAUGCCUGAAAUAGGGGUGAAGCCAGAGGAAACUCUGGUGGAGGCUCGUAGCGAUUUCUGACGUGCAAAUCGAUCGUCGAAUUUGGGUAUAGGGGGCGAAAGGACUAAAUCGAACCAAUCUAGUAGCUGGGUUCCCUGCCGAAG
rnacentral:rRNA from 1 species